AGUGAACGCUGGCGGUAGGCCUAACACAUGCAAGUCGAACGGCAGCACAGUAAGAGCUUGCUCUUACGGGUGGCGAGUGGCGGACGGGUGAGGAAUACAUCGGAAUCUACUUUUUCGUGGGGGAUAACGUAGGGAAACUUACGCUAAUACCGCAUACGACCUACGGGUGAAAGCAGGGGAUCUUCGUACCUUUCGCGAUUGAAUGAGCCGAUGUCGGAUUAGCUAGUUGGCGGGGUAAAGGCCCACCAAGGCGACGAUCCGUAGCUGGUCUGAGAGGAUGAUCAGCCACACUGGAACUGAGACACGGUCCAGACUCCUACGGGAGGCAGCAGUGGGGAAUAUUGGACAAUGGGCGCAAGCCUGAUCCAGCCAUACCGCGUGGGUGAAGAAGGCCUUCGGGUUGUAAAGCCCUUUUGUUGGGAAAGAAAAGCAGCAGGUUAAUCCCCCGCUGUUCUGACGGUACCCAAAGAAUAAGCACCGGCUAACUUCGUG
rnacentral:rRNA from 1 species